UAUGAUCGCUGGAUGAUUCGUUUUAAGUCUAAUACUGCGGGUAAUGGAGUCGCCAAUGACUAGAGUUUUCAAUUUGUCAGAGCUAAUGGUGGGAAGCUUCGGCGUCUCAGACCCCGUAACGGGAGGAGUAUAGACCAGAGAAGGCUCGGCCUCUGACUCCGACUCGCUACUUAAUGGGGAAAACCGGUUGAAAGUUUCUGUCGGCUGAAUGAGCGACACCGGUUGAGCGUUCCUACAGCAUUUCCUUCCAGAAACCAUGAGAAAGUUGUCCGGCUGCGGGGACUGUGCCAGGGGAUUUAUACUACUAUCUGUACUUGCUGGUGGCACAGACGCUGUUUCAUCCUUUCCUACACUGAAAUUACCCUUGCCUAACGAUUGCGUCUGAAGCCGGGCUUGUAGCACAGCUAUCCUCGCCGUAAGGCGAGUACAGCGACUGCAAUUAGAAGGCAUCAUGUUAAUGUUACUACUUAGCUUCGGGUGUUGGAGGUCCUGACGAAUCGUGUCCAGAUAAAGCGUCCGGAGUGAAAAAGUUGUGGGUGGAAAAAAAAAAUAUAUAUGUGUGUGUGUAUAACAACAGUAAUUAAAAAGUAAAAACCGUAAAAUUGUCAGGUAGCAAAAUAGGUUGGCAACAAAACGCACAGCAACUCGAAAACAGGUCUGCAAGUUGUGACCGUCUUGCUGAGGAGCUCAACCAUGAGAAGGACCCACAAGCCCAACUGGAUAAGGUCAUUAACGAGGCAAAAAGGCUGGCUGAGGAGCUCAACCCAGAAUGGGAAAAGAAAAAGACAACUACAUCCAAAAGGCAACUACAUCCACUUAUGUUGCUCCAAGGGCCAGUACAUCAAGAGACAGACGAGUGCAACAUUUUGGGCCAGUCACUGAGGAAGAAUCAGAGACAAGGACCAGUGGAUUGGAAUCCACUCCAGUUUUCAACAUUGAUGAAGAAAUAGGCGACCAGUUUUGAUAGCCUUCAGCCGCACCCUCAACCUACUCCUCCUCUGUUCCUCGGGUGAUGUGAAGGUAAACCCAGGCCCCGCAUGUCCCCAGGCACCCUCAUUUGUUGAUUUCUGUGAUCGAAAAAGCCUUGGUUUCAUGCAUGUCAACAUCAGAAGCCUCCUCCCGAAGUUUGUUUUACUCACUGCUUUAGCACACUCUGCCAAACCUGAUGUCCUUGCCCUGUCUGAAUCCUGGCCUAGGAUGGCCACCAAAAAUUUUGAGAUUUCCAUACCCAACUAUAACAUUUUCCGUCAAGAUAGAACUGCCAAAGGGGGAGGAGUUGCAAUCUACUGCAGAGAUAGCCUGCAAAGUUCUGUCAUACUUUCCAGGUCUAUGCUCAAACAGUUCGAACUUCUAAUUUUAAAAAUGGAUCUCUCCAGAAAUAAGUCUCUCACUGUUGCCGCCUGCUACUGACCCACCUCAGCUCCCAGCUGUGCCCUGGACACCAUCUGUGAAUUGAUCGCCCCCCAUCUCGCUUCAGAGUUUGUUCUGUUAGGUGACCUAAACUGGCAUAUGCUUAACACCCCGACAGUCCUACAAUCUAAGCUAGAUGCCCUCAAUCUCACACAAAUCAUCAAGGAACCCACCAGGUACAACCCUAAAUCCGUAAACAUGGGCACCAUAAUUUACAUUAUUCCGACCAGCUUGCCCUCCAAAUACACCUCUGCUGUCUUCAAUCAGGAUCUUAGCGAUCACUGCCUCAUUGCCUGUAUACGCUACAGGUCCGCGAUCAAAUGACCACCCCUCGUCACUGUCAAACGCUCCCUAAAACACUUCUGCGAGCAGGCCUUUCUAAUCAACCUGGCCCGGGUAUCCUGGAAGGAUAUUGACCUCAUACCAUCAGUUGAGGAUACCUGGUCAUUCUUUAAAAGUAACUUCCUCACCAUCUUAGACAAGCAUGCUCCUUUCAAAAAAUGCAGAAUUAAGAACAGAUAUAGCCCUUGGUUCACUCCAGACCUGACUGCCCUCGACCAGCACAAAAACAUCCUGUGGCGAACUGCAAUAGCAUCGAAUAGUCCCCGCGAUAUGCAACUGUUCAGGGAAGUCAGAAACCAAUACAUGCAGUCAGUCAGGAAAGCAAAGGCCAGCUUUUUCAAGCAGAAAUUUGCAUCCUGUAGCUCUAACUCCAAAAUGUUCUGGGAAACUGUCCAUGGAGGCUAGGUAACACGGUCACCACCGAUAAAACCGUGAAAAUCGAAAAAUUCAACAAGCAUUUCUCAACGGCUGGCCAUGCCUUCCUCCUGGCUACUCCAACCUCGGCCAACAGCUCCACCGCCCCACCCCCCGCAGAUACUCGCCCAAGCCUCCCCAGCUUCUCCUUUACCCAAAUCCAGACAGCAGAUGUUCUGAAAGAGCGGCAAAACCUUCAAAUCCCCAAGCUGACAAGGUACAAAUCUGUCGUUCUGCCCCUGAACAGGCAGUUAACCCACUGUUCCUAGGCCGUCAUUGAAAAUAAGAAUUUGUUCUUAACUGACUUGCCUAGUUAAAUAAAGGUAAAAUAAAUAAAAAAUAAAAUAAUCGAUAAAAAUCAGUACUGUGCAGCCGUCUUCAUCGACCUGGCCCAGGCUUUCGACUCUGUCAAUCACCAUAUUCUUAUCGGCAGACUCAGUUGCCUCGGUUUUUCUAAUGACUGCCUUGCCUGGUUCACCAGCUACUUUGCAGACAGAGUUCAGUGUGUCAAAUCGGGGGGCAUGUUGUCCGGUCCUCUGGCAGUCUAUGGCGGUACCACAAGGUCCAAUUCUCAGGCCGACUCUUUUCUGUGUAUAUAUCAAUGAUGUUGCUCUUGCUGCGGGCGAUUCCCUGAUCCACCUCUACGCAGAUGACACCAUUCUGUAUACCUCUGGCCCUUACUUGGACACUGUGCUAUCUAACCUCCAAACGAGCUUCAAUGCCAUACAAUACGCCUUCCGUGGCCUCCAACUGCUCUUAAACGCUAGUAAAACCAAAUACAUGCUUUUCAACCGUUCGCUGCCUGCACCCACACGCUCGACUAGCAUCACCACCCUGGAUGGUUCCGACCUAGAAUAUGUGGACAUCUAUAAGUACCUAGGUGUCUGGCUAGACUGCAAACUCUCCUGCCAGACUCAUAUCAAAUAUCUCCAAUCCAAAAUCAAAUCUAGAGUCGACUUUCUAUUUCGCAACAAAGCCUCCUUCACUCAUGCCGCAAAACUUACCCUAGUAAAACUGACUAUCCUACCGAUCCUCGACUUCGGCAAUGUCAUCUACAAAAUAGCUUCCAAAACUCUACUCAGCAAACUGGAUGCAGUUUGUCAAAGUGCCAUCCGUUUUGUUACUAAAGCCACUUAUGCAAUCCACCACUGCGACCUGUAUGCUCUAGUUGGCUGGCCCCCGCUACAUGUGAGCAGCUAACCGAUCGCUGCAGCUGUACAUAGUCCAUCGGUAUAUAGCCCACCCAAUUUACCUACCUCAUCCCCAUACUGUUUUUAUUUUAUUUACUUUUCUGCUCUUUUGCUCACCAGUAUCUCCACUUGCACAUGUUCAUCUGAUCAUUUAUCACUCCAGUGUUAAUCUGCUAAAUUGUAAUUAUUCACUCCUAUGGCCUAUUUAUUGCCUACCUCCUCAUGCCUUUUGCACACAAUGUAUAUAGACUCAUUUUUUCUACGAUGUUAUUGACUUGUUUAUUGUUUACUCCAUGUGUAACUCUGUGUUGUUGUCUGUUCACACUGCUAUGCUUUAUCUUGGCCAGGUCGCAGUUGCAAAUGAGAACCUGUUCUC